CGGGGUGCAGCAGGCGCGAAAACUUUACAAUGCGGGAAACCGUGAUAAGGGGACACCGAGUGCCAGCAUCAUAUGCUGGCUGUCCAGGUGUGUAAAAUACGCCUGUUAGCAAGGGCCGGGCAAGACCGGUGCCAGCCGCCGCGGUAACACCGGCGGCCCGAGUGGUGAUCGUGAUUAUUGGGUCUAAAGGGUCCGUAGCCGGUUUGGUCAGUCCUCCGGGAAAUCUGACGGCUCAACCGUUAGGCUUUCGGGGGAUACUGCCAGGCUUGGAACCGGGAGAGGUAAGAGGUACUACAGGGGUAGGAGUGAAAUCUUGUAAUCCCUGUGAGACCACCUGUGGCGAAGGCGUCUUACCAGAACGGGUUCGACGGUGAGGGACGAAAGCUGGGGGCACGAACCGGAUUAGAUACCCGGGUAGUCCCAGCCGUAAACGAUGCUCGCUAGGUGUCAGGCAUGGCGCGACCGUGUCUGGUGCUGCAGGGAAGCCGUGAAGCGAGCCACCUGGGAAGUACGGCCGCAAGGCUGAAACUUAAAGGAAUUGGCGGGGGAGCACAAGGGCGAAUUGCG
rnacentral:rRNA from 1 species